ACGUGUGCCGGAGGUUGAUUCUUGCAUGGUUUGUUGGACAUGUCAAGUUCAGCUUAUCGAGGCAUCGCAUGUAAAGACAACCUGUGGGAGCGAUUUAUUGAAAAAGUUUCGCUAUUUUGUUUUUUCUGAUUUUCAGGUAUAGAUUUCUGCUGGUUUGUUGUUUUGCUUUCCUUGAUGCUUUUACUGACUGUGCAUUUGUUUCUUUUAGGGCGUGAAGGUUACUGCACUUGCAAUUGAUGGUAACGUCGAUUGUGUUAGCCAGUUACUUGUGUCAUUUAGAAAGUACCAUAUAUCCAAGGCUCAUGUUUAUAAGAUCCCUGAUUGUGUGGCUGUUGGAUCUUAUCCCUAUUAUUGGGUUUUGACUGACCAAACUAUGAUUGAUGAAGUAUUUGAAAUAGAGGCUUCAAAACUUCCAUGUUAUUUUGCGUUGGACUCUAUUUCUUCGUGUCACACUGUUGCUGAUACAGAAAAGUUCAUAAGUAAUGCAUUGUGGAUUAAACUAUUUUCUUUGUGAUGGGUACGACUAUAUCUGUAUGUUGUGGUUUUCACCGGUCUUUUUUUGGACCUUGGCAGAUAUCAUGGGAAUUGUUCUCUGUGUCUUUCCUGCCAGGGAGGUUUAUUUUGAAGGGGGACCAUCUGUUGCG
rnacentral:lncRNA from 1 species